CAGUAGCCGCGGGAAUACGUAGGUGGCAAGCGUUGUCCGGAAUUAUUGGGCGUAAAGGGCUCGCAGGCGGUUCGUUAAGUCUUGUGUGAAAUCUUCGGGCUCAACUCGAAGUCUGCAUGAGAAACUGCUGGGCUUGAGUGUGGGAGAGGUGAGUGGAAUUCCCGGUGUAGCGGUGAAAUGCGUAGAUAUCGGAAGGAACACCUGUGGCGAAAGCGGCUCACUGGACAAUAACUGACGCUGAUGCACGAAAGCUAGGGGAGCAAACAGGAUUAGAUACCCCUGUAGUCCCUGUCUCUUAUAC
rnacentral:rRNA from 1 species